UACGAAGGGGGCUAGCGUUGCUCGGAAUCACUGGGCGUAAAGCGCACGUAGGCGGAUUGCUAAGUCAGGGGUGAAAUCCUGGAGCUCAACUCCAGAACUGCCUUUGAUACUGAAGAUCUUGAGUUCGGGAGAGGUGAGUGGAACUGCGAGUGUAGAGGUGAAAUUCGUAGAUAUUCGCAAGAACACCAGUGGCGAAGGCGGUUCUCUGGGACGGUACUGACGCUGAGACGCGAAAGCGUGGGGAGCGAACAGG
rnacentral:rRNA from 1 species